rnacentral:lncRNA from 1 species
GGCAGCCCACCUGUUCCCGUAGAGCAGUGUGACUGCCUCUGAAUCUGUGUUGACCAGGCUGGUGAGUAUGUACGUCCUCCUCCAACACCUAAUAAGGCAAUAUUUUCCUUUUUCUUCCUCUAGUUCCUUAUGUAAAGAAUGUUUAAUUUCCCUUUGUCUUUUGUCAUUUGACUUUCAUUUCCCAUUUUGGGUUUUCUGCUUCUCUGACACGGAGCCUUCUGUUCUGCCCUGCUUCAUUUCUCUUCUUGGUGGAUUUGACCUAAGUUCCA